rnacentral:rRNA from 1 species
AUUGAACGCUGGCGGCAGGCCUAACACAUGCAAGUCGAGCGGAUGAAGGGAGCUUGCUCCUGGAUUCAGCGGCGGACGGGUGAGUAAUGCCUAGGAAUCUGCCUGGUAGUGGGGGAUAACGUCCGGAAACGGGCGCUAAUACCGCAUACGUCCUGAGGGAGAAAGUGGGGGAUCUUCAGACCUCACGCUAUCAGAUGAGCCUAGGUCGGAUUAGCUAGUUGGUGGGGUAAAGGCCUACCAAGGCGACGAUCCGUAACUGGUCUGAGAGGAUGAUCAGUCACACUGGAACUGAGACACGGUCCAGACUCCUACGGGAGGCAGCAGUGGGGAAUAUUGGACAAUGGGCGAAAGCCUGAUCCAGCCAUGCCGCGUGUGUGAAGAAGGUCUUCCGAUUGUAAAGCACUUUAAGUUGGGAGGAAGGGCAGUAAGUUAAUACCUUGCUGUUUUGACGUUACCAACAGAAUAAGCACCGGCUAACUUCGUG